rnacentral:rRNA from 1 species
CGGACGAACGCUGGCGGCGUGCUUAAUACAUGCAAGUCGAGCGAGGCCUUGGAAUUGGAGUCCUUCGGGAUGAAGAGUCCUUGGCCUAGCGGCGGACGGGUGAGUAACGCGUGGGUAACCUACCCCAAAGUCCGGGAUAACAGCGGGAAACCGCUGCUAAUACCGGAUGCCUUUACCUUGGGCAUCUUGAGGUAAAGAAAGGUAACGCUUUGGGAUGGGCCCGCGUCCCAUUAGCUAGUUGGUGAGGUAACGGCUCACCAAGGCGACGAUGGGUAGCCGGCCUGAGAGGGUGGACGGCCACACUGGGACUGAGACACGGCCCAGACUCCUACGGGAGGCAGCAGUAGGGAAUAUUGCGCAAUGGACGGAAGUCUGACGCAGCGACGCCGCGUGAGCGAUGAAGGUCUUCGGAUCGUAAAGCUCUGUCCUUGGGGAAGAAGGCGAAAGCUUGACGGUACCCAAGAAGAAAGCCCCGGCUAACUACGUG